GAGUCAGUGGAGGAUUGUUUUAAGAAGAGAGCCCUAGAGCAUCAGAGGCUGAAAGCAGACAGGCUGGAUUGAAUGAAUAUCUCUACCCUGUUCCUCAGUGGCCAGCAGAGGAAAUUCUAGGGUCCACAGGGUGAGAACUAGGGAAGAGAAAAAAGAUGACGGAGCUUGUGGAUUUAGAGGUUAGACACACAGGUAUCCUAUCACAUGAUGUGACUGCAGAAGAGGCCCUGGUCAUCAGUUAAGAGCUAUAUCAAAAUCACAGGUGCAACGCAGAGGGCCACUGAGUCCAGAACGUUGACAGCCUUACAGCCCAGAGUGGAGGAAUCUGCUAGCUGCAGUCCAUCAGCUUUCCUGGUGAAAGCCUGGAGCGGGCUGACGCCUGCUCCCUCUCCGCCAGUUCCCAGGCAUCUGGGUCGCCUACACAAGUCUUAAUCAAGUCAUCAUAUCUAGCUAGUGUCUCCUGGAUCCCGUCACUUCUGAAUGAGAAAAAAAAUUGCGGACAAAUUUCUAUCAGCAGGAAGUUGGUGCUCUCCUGCGAGGCUGGAUGAAAAGCCCCUGUGACGUCAGCAGUCUCCUGCCUUCCCACGCCUGCUGCGAGCUUUGAAGCUGCAGGCUUCUCUGUUUAUGCCCCUAGCAGACCACCUGCCCCUCUGAGUCCCGUUCAGGCCCCCACAACUUCUUGGGCUGCUCGGGAUGAGCCCAAAGCGUCCUAAUUAUGGACAUUGCUGGCUUGUUCUGGUCAAGUAAGAAGUGUCUGCCCCACAUCAAGAAACUUACCGGCACCAGCAAAUCCUGGCCUCACCAUUGUCCCCGCAGUAAGGAGCAUUUGAUUGAGGGCCAGGAUAGUUUGUUGGAACUUAUAAAAGCCCGGUUUGAAGGAAGGGGCUGCCUGGCCUCCCUCUACACGACUGAUAACUUUCCAAUUUGUAGUAAAAACUGUGAGAGAUAAACC
rnacentral:lncRNA from 1 species